rnacentral:rRNA from 1 species
ACAGCAGCCGCCGCGGGAAUACAGAGGGUGCGAGCGUUAAUCGGAUUUACUGGGCGUAAAGCGUGCGUAGGCGGCUUCUUAAGUCGGAUGUGAAAUCCCUGAGCUUAACUUAGGAAUUGCAUUCGAUACUGGGAAGCUAGAGUAUGGGAGAGGAUGGUAGAAUUCCAGGUGUAGCGGUGAAAUGCGUAGAGAUCUGGAGGAAUACCGAUGGCGAAGGCAGCCAUCUGGCCUAAUACUGACGCUGAGGUACGAAAGCAUGGGGAGCAAACAGGAUUAGAGACCCGCGUAGUCCCUGUCUCUUAUAA